rnacentral:rRNA from 1 species
CCUACGGGAGGCAGCAGUGAGGAAUAUUGGUCAAUGGCCGUAAGGCUGAACCAGCCAAGUCGCGUGAAGGAAGAAGGAUCUAUGGUUUGUAAACUUCUUUUCUCAGGGACGAAGCAAGUGACGGUACCUGAGGAAUAAGCCACGGCUAACUACGUGCCAGCAGCCGCGGUAAUACGUAGGUGGCAGGCGUUAUCCGGAUUUACUGGGUGUAAAGGGCGUGUAGGCGGGACUGCAAGUCAGAUGUGAAAACCACGGGCUCAACCUGUGGCCUUAAUUUGAAACUGUAGUUCUUGAGUACUGGAGAGGCAGACGGAAUUCCUAGUGUAGCGGUGAAAUGCGUAGAUAUUAGGAGGAACACCAGUGGCGAAGGCGGUCUGCUGGACAGCAACUGACGCUGAGGCGCGAAAGCGUGGGGAGCAAACAGGAUUAGAUACCCUAGUAGU